rnacentral:rRNA from 1 species
GUCCAGACUCCUACGGGAGGCAGCAGUGGGGAAUAUUGCACAAUGGGGGAAACCCUGAUGCAGCGACGCCGCGUGAAGGGUGAAGUAUUUCGGUAUGUAAACUUCUAUCAGCAGGGAAGAAAAUGACGGUACCUGACUAAGAAGCCCCGGCUAACUACGUGCCAGCAGCCGCGGUAAUACGUAGGGGGCAAGCGUUAUCCGGAUUUACUGGGUGUAAAGGGAGCGUAGACGGCAGUGCAAGUCUGGAGUGAAAGGCGGGGGCUCAACCCCCGGACUGCUCUGGAAACUGUACGGCUGGAGUGCAGGAGAGGUAAGUGGAAUUCCUAGUGUAGCGGUGAAAUGCGUAGAUAUUAGGAGGAACACCAGUGGCGAAGGCGGCUUACUGGACUGUAACUGACGUUGAGGCUCGAAAGCGUGGGGAGCAAACAGGAUUAGAUACCCUAGUAC